GACGAACCGUGCGAACGUUGUUCGGAAUCACUGGGCUUAAAGGGCGCGUAGGCGGGUGGCCAAGUCAGAGGCGAAAUCCCACAGCUCAACUGUGGAAGGGCCCCUGAUACUGGCCGUCUCGAGGGAGGUAGGGGCGUGUGGAACUUCCGGUGGAGCGGUGAAAUGCGUAGAUAUCGGGAGGAACACCUGUGGCGAAAGCGGCUCACUGGACCACAACUGACGCUGAGGCGCGAAAGCUAGGGGAGCAAACAGG
rnacentral:rRNA from 1 species